ensembl:snRNA U1 U1 spliceosomal RNA
AUACUUACCUGACGAGGACCAUACUGGGAUCAGGCAGCCAGUGGGUCCAGGGCGAGGCUUUGCCAUUGCACGUCUUCUCGUCGUCGCACAGCCGUAUAUCUAUAUAUGGGGGGUGGUGGUCGUAGAUUAGU